UUUCCCUCAGGAUAGCUGGCGCUCUCGCUCUUUCCCGAUGCACGCAGUUUUAUCCGGUAAAGCGAAUGAUUAGAGGUCUUGGGGCCGAAACGAUCUCAACCUAUUCUCAAACUUUAAAUGGGUAAGAAGCCCGGCUCACUGGCGUGGAGCCGGGCAUGGAAUGCAAGUGCCUAGUGGGCCACUUUUGGUAAGCAGAACUGGCGUUGCGGGAUGAACCG
rnacentral:ncRNA from 1 species